AUUGAACGCUGGCGGCAUGCCUUACACAUGCAAGUCGAACGGCAGCACGGGAGCAAUCCUGGUGGCGAGUGGCGAACGGGUGAGUAAUACAUCGGAACGUGCCCAGUAGUGGGGGAUAGCCCGGCGAAAGCCGGAUUAAUACCGCAUACGACCUACGGGUGAAAGCGGGGGAUCGCAAGACCUCGCGCUAUUGGAGCGGCCGAUGUCAGAUUAGCUUGUUGGUGGGGUAAAAGCCUACCAAGGCGACGAUCUGUAGCUGGUCUGAGAGGACGACCAGCCACACUGGGACUGAGACACGGUCCAGACUCCUACGGGAGGCAGCAGUGGGGAAUUUUGGACAAUGGGGGCAACCCUGAUCCAGCAAUGCCGCGUGAGUGAAGAAGGCCUUCGGUUGUAAG
rnacentral:rRNA from 1 species